GCCUAACACAUGCAAGUCGAGCGAGAAGCUAUAAAAGGACACUUCGGUAGAAUUAUAUGGCGGAAAGCGGCGGACGGGUGAGUAACGCGUGGGAAACCUGCCUUUCACAGAGGGAUAGCCGAAGGAAACUACGAUUAAUACCUCAUAAAGCAAAAGCUUCGCAUGGAGCGAUUGCCAAAGAAUAAUCGGUGAAAGAUGGUCCCGCGUCUGAUUAGUUAGUUGGUAAGGUAGCGGCUUACCAAGGCGACGAUCAGUAGCCGGCCUGAGAGGGUGAACGGCCACAUUGGAACUGAGACACGGUCCAGACUCCUACGGGAGGCAGCAGUGGGGGAUAUUGCACAAUGGGCGAAAGCCUGAUGCAGCAACGCCGCGUGAAGGAAGAAGGCUUUCGAGUCGUAAACUUCUGUCCAAAGGGAAGAAAAGAUGACGGUACCUUUGAAGAAAGCCCCGGCUAACUACGUGCCAGCAGCCGCGGUAAUACGUAGGGGGCGAGCGUUAUCCGGAAUUACUGGGCGUAAAGAGUAUGUAGGUGGUUUAGCAAGCGUAGGGUUUAAGGCGACAGCCCAACUGUCGUAUGCCCCGCGAACUGUUAGACUUGAGUACAGGAGGGGAAGGCGGAAUUCCUAGUGUAGCGGUGAAAUGCGUAGAUAUUAGGAGGAACACCGGUGGCGAAGGCGGCCUUCUGGACUGUAACUGACACUGAGAUACGAAAGCGUGGGUAGCAAACAGG
rnacentral:rRNA from 1 species